rnacentral:piRNA from 1 species
UCCACACUCACACAGGUGUUUAGCUUGUC